AGUGAACGCUGGCGGUAGGCCUAACACAUGCAAGUCGAACGGCAGCACAGUAAGAGCUUGCUCUUACGGGUGGCGAGUGGCGGACGGGUGAGGAAUACAUCGGAAUCUACUUUUUCGUGGGGGAUAACGUAAGGAGACUUACGCUAAGACCGCAUACGACCUACGGGUGAAAGCAGGGGAUCGUCGGAGCUUGCGCGAUUGAAUGAGCCGAUGUCGGAUUAGCUAGUCGGCGGGGUAAAGACCCACCCAGGCGACGAUCCGUAGCUGGUGUGAGAGGAUGAUCAGCCGCACUGGAGCUGGGACAGGGACAAGGCGCCUAAGGGAGGGCGCAGUGUGGAAUAUGGGACAGUGGGGGCAAGCCUGGUCCAGCGAUCCCGCGUGGGUGACGGAGGCCUUCGGUUUGUAAAGCCCUUUUUUUGGGAAUGAAACGCAGCCGGUUAAUACGCAGCUGUUCUGACGGUACCCAAAGAAUAAGCACCGGCUAACUUCGUG
rnacentral:rRNA from 1 species